CAGUAGCCGCGGUAAUACCGAGGGUGCAAGCGUUAAUCGGAAUUACUGGGCGUAAAGCGCGCGUAGGUGGUUUGUUAAGUUGGAUGUGAAAGCCCCGGGCUCAACCUGGGAACUGCAUCCAAAACUGGCAAGCUAGAGUACGGUAGAGGGUGGUGGAAUUUCCUGUGUAGCGGUGAAAUGCGUAGAUAUAGGAAGGAACACCAGUGGCGAAGGCGACCACCUGGACUGAUACUGACACUGAGGUGCGAAAGCGUGGGGAGCAAACAGGAUUAGAUACCCCCGUAGUCCCUGUCUCUUAUAC
rnacentral:rRNA from 1 species